rnacentral:rRNA from 1 species
AUUGAACGCUGGCGGCAGGCCUAACACAUGCAAGUCGAGCGAGCGGCGGACGGGUGAGUAAUGUCUGGGAAACUGCCUGAUGGAGGGGGAUAACUACUGGAAACGGUAGCUAAUACCGCAUACCAUCAGAUGUGCCCAGAUGGGAUUAGUUAGUAGGUGGGGUAACGGCUCACCUAGGCGACGAUCCCUAGCUGGUCUGAGAGGAUGACCAGCACCCCGGGAACGGGAACACGGUCCAGGCCCCUACGUAAGGCAGCAGUGGGGAAUAUUGCACAAUGGGCGCAAGCCUGAUGCAGCCAUGCCGGGUGUGUGAAGAAGGCCUUCGGGUUGUAAAGCACUUUCAGCGGGGAGGCGUUACCCGCAGAAGAAGCACCGGCUAACUCCGUGCCAGCCGCCGCGUUAAUA